GACGAACGCUGGCGGCGUGCUUAACACAUGCAAGUCGAACGGAAAGGCCCUGCUUGCAGGGUACUCGAGUGGCGAACGGGUGAGUAACACGUGGGUGAUCUGCCCUGCACUUCGGGAUAAGCCUGGGAAACUGGGUCUAAUACCGGAUAGGAGCCAUUUUUAGUGUGAUGGUUGGAAAGUUUUUUCGGUGUAGGAUGAGCUCGCGGCCUAUCAGCUUGUUGGUGGGGUAUGGCCUACCAAGGCGGCGACGGGUAGCCGGCCUGAGAGGGUGGACGGCCACAUUGGGACUGAGAUACGGCCCAGACUCCUACGGGUGGCCGCAGUGGGGGCUCUUGCGCCCUGGGCGCAAGCCUGAUGCAGCGACGCCGCGUGGGGGAUGACGGCCUUCGGGUUGUAAACUCCUUUCGCUAGGGACGAAGCUUUUUGUGACGGUCCCUCGCUAAGAAGCACCGGCUACCUACGUG
rnacentral:rRNA from 1 species